GAAUCUGCGUCUUCAUCACAUCAGACGGAGAACAACCCCUCCGGUCUCCUGGAGUCUUCUCCUGCUGCUCAUCAGCCCCCACUACAAUCUGCAAGAUGUUCUCCACAGCUUCAGCACACAGAGCGUCAACCAGAGCUCCCAGUUUCUCCUGAAACAAUAUGAACAGUCACUAAAGCUGCAUUCAGACCUGCACUGAACUUCAGAUAAUCCCCCGACAUGUUCCUAACAUGUUCCUAACAUGUUCGGCUGGUUCUGUCUGUGAGAACAAAUGUCUGAGUCAGUGUCUCUGGACGUUUUCUGAAACUCUUCCUGCAGCCUCCUAGUGAGACGUGUGGAAGCUUCCCAGUGAGCGAGUGGACGAGGAGCUGGAAGAACACAAACAUCUCAGCAUGAAGAAGAGGAGCUGGACACGUAGAAGAUGAAGACAUCAACAUGGAAACACGAGGAGACUCCAGAUCGUUCAGUGAUGAGUCACAUCCUCACAGAAAGGACGGAUCGACCUUCAGCUGUGAUCGUCCGACUCGCCGCCGCUCUGUCGCCGCGGCGAGGGGAGGCUCCUCCCUCCGUCCUCGUGAUGUUGUUUGGAGGAGCUGGACAGGUCGAUGGCCACUUCCUCCUCCAGCUCCUCCUCUUCCUCCAACAGCUCCUCCCCCGGCUCCACCUCCCGGACCUCGCUGCCCCGCCGCUCCGCCGGGCUGAAGGAGUCGGAGCGAGUGGAUUCAGACGCUGGAGGACUGGAACACUUUUUGGCCAUUUCUAAAGAUUUCUUGUGCAUUCCUGAGGAAAGAGAGGCGGAGACAGAGAUUCAGUCCAGUCUGCUCCACUCACAACUUAUUACCACGUGAAAUUAUGAUAGAAAAUCAGUUUUAUCUUUACAACGUGACUUCAUCAACAGCCAUGGAAGUCUCCAGCGAAAUUAUAUUGUAUCUAUCAUGAAUAUAUGAACAAAUAAACAAGGAUAAAACUGAAAAGACAUAUAAUUCUUCAUUACAAUUAAAUAAUUAAAUACACUGGGGGCAGAUCAGGGGACGUUUGGACCCACAGCGUCUUGGUUACGGCCCUGAUUCAAACAUCAUGAUGACCUCAUGAACUUUAUAACUCACUUGCAAAUAAAUGCUAACUGUAAAUUAAGGCUGUGACGUGUAAUCUGAGAAAUAAACUUUCCCUCACAAUGAAACUUA